rnacentral:tRNA from 1 species
ACGCAGAGAUCCAUCGGCUUCUGAGUGCCGGAAUCACUGUUUCCUUUAACUUUUUGUCAAAGGAGCCUCACGAAUG